UAUAGUCCUAAUUACUUUUGACUCUAGAUUUUUGAUUGUUUAUUUGUUGGUGUGUUUGUUUGAACAGGUCAUCUCUUUGACAGGAAUGAGCUGAGUGUACUGAAUGAUAUAUCCUGUUGAAAACUAAUGUACCAAAUGCCACAGAACCACCUGAGAUCCUACCACCUGGGCAAAUCCUUAUUAUUGUUGUCCAGCCUGUCUACCCAGCAAGAGAGCUUGCUGAAGGGGCAUUCCAACCAGAAAUGGAAGAAUUUUCUGCGUCAAGAAAAUUGCAACAUGAGAGCAGCCAGAGGUAGCCUCAAGGAGGCAAGAUGAUGAUUAAGGAGAAGUCUCCAUAUUCGCCCGUAGAAGUUUUCCAGGCUGUGCAGAAGCUACGAGAGGGCAGGAAACUGCUUUCUUCUUGCACAAUGAGAAGGUCCACUCUUUAAACCUUUCAGUUACAUGUGUAUUCACUUAACACCUGUGAAAUGUGCAAGAGUUACUCCCAUUCCUCCUCCUCAUUAACCCCACUCUCUCUUUUUUCCCAUGUACUAGGAGAUUUCUAUCAUUUCUUGAAAUAAUUGCCAGGGUUAUGCCAGAUAUAUAGAUCAAUUAAGUCAAAUGGUGCCUCUGAAAACAAAUGGUAAGAAGACAGUAUCAGUAGAUUUGAGCAUGAAAGCCUCACUUUUAGGUUGCUGGGGUUUUUUGUUUUGUUUUGUUUUGUUUUUUACCAUCUCCAGACACUUGAUGAUAGUAAUACCAUCCUUCAUAUGACUCCAUCUGCCCAAAAAAUGUAGUUAAGAAUGUGCAUGCUUGCAUGUUAAGUCUCUUCAGUCUUGUCUGACUCUUUGUGACCCUAUGGACUGGAGCCCACCAGGCUCCUCUGUCCAUGGGAUUUUCCAGGCAAAAAUACCAAAGUGGGUUGCCAUGCCCUCCUCCAGGACAUCUUCCACAGCCAGGGAUCAAACCUGCAUCUCUUAUGUCUCCUGCAUUGGCAUCAGGUUCUUCACCAUUGGCGCCACUUGGAAAGCCCCAUUAAGAAUGUUGGUGUUCUGUUAGAAAUUGGCGAAUUAUAAUUGACCAUUCAUGUAAUUAGAAAAGGCAACCAAGAGAUUGAGAAUAGAUUUUGUGAUCAAAGAAACUUUGGGUGCUGAAAAUACCAAUGGAGAUUAAUUGAGAUUAAGCCUCUGUUUAUCUUCUAUUUAUUAAGGAUUAUAUUACCUUCUCUUCUUUACCUUUUAAGAGAUGGGAAGCAGGGAGGGGACGUUCUCUUUCAGGCUACAUGUUUAACUUGCUUGUUCAGUUUCUCCUUAACAGUAGCAGGAUGAAAAAUUGUGUAUACAUAUAUAACCUCACAAAAAGAACAUCAUUCUCUUUUCUUCCUCAUACCGUCUCCACUCUCACCAAACUUCUCUGAGAUGAGCUAAAGUAAUAAAUCUAUUUCAUUUUGCAAAUGUACUUCUGGAAUUGUCCCUGGCACCCAGGAUUAUCCAAGGUAAAUAAGCAUCUCUUACAGCUUUUCUCUUAAUAAAGUGAAAAGUAAGUAUAGUUUAGAAGAAUUUCUGAAAUAAGAUUAUUGGGAUUUAUAAGGAACUUUCCAUAAAAGAAUUUGACCUACUGAAAAGAAAUGGGACAGAAGUUUUCGGCACCUUUGUUGAUUCAAUUAACACUAGCUUCUAGAAUGGUGCAUUACAGAAGCCCUGGCACCUUUAGAACAUCCAUCCAAAUACUGUGAUAACCACGGAAACUUUAGGAGGACCUCAGCAUUCAUUUGUGCUGUGACUACAACACAGUGUCCAGGCUCCUACCUUCUGAAUGGCUUGCUCUGAUGUUGCUGUUUUCAGACCACUGAAUCAACAACAAUACAAAGGUGAUUCUACACUGGUUACUCACACCUAAGGUCAUCACUGGUACCCUAGAUAGGUUAUUAAUUGUUUCCAUUUACAGCAUACUCCAGAAAACAGUUCCAGAUAGAGGGCCAACCCUUGCAAGUAGGGAGUAGGUCACAAUGACUAGAGUUCAGGAAAACAGUUGAGUCACUGUGGGUGGAAGAUAUAAAACCUGUACUAGGACAGGAGUUAUGCUUCCAAUGAGCACCCAACCUUAUUAACAAAUAUCAACACUCAGGACAAAAGGUUAGGGCAGGAACCCUCAGAAGGCUGGCAAGGUUGAACGUCAGUAUAACCACUUCAAGAAUCUGUUUGGAACUAUCUGCUAUAACUGAAAUUUUACACCAAGAGACAUACAAAAAUGCUUAUGGUAGUGUUAUUUGUAACACCUCCCCCAAAUGGAAAGAACUCAAAGGUUCACAACAGAAGAAUGAGUUUUUUAGUGUGACAUACAGUGUCUCCUACAGCCGAACCUUCAAGUUGCAAACUUGCAAGGAGGCGAGCAUUCAUUUGCAUGUCCAAUCGUGUAAGUUAGUUCACGCCUCUGGUGUACAUUGUCAUGCGUGGGCGUCCCCUACAGGGGGUUGUGCUUUUGUGUACUUUACUGUACUGUACUGUAUAGAGCACUGUAGUGCAGGGUCUUUGUUUCAAGCCCAGGAUGUCCGGAAGCAAGAAGGCAGAUAGAACUAAAUCCAGCAAGGAACCAGAUACUGUGCCAUCAGUACCAGUCAUGAGUAAAAUUGCAGCUUGCCCUCCAUCUCCUGUGCUGACUGUCCUUCAGCUCCACCCUCUCCCACCCCCUCUCCCUCCUCCAGUCAGUUACUCUUCUUGCCUGGUCUCUUGAUGCCAGCCCCUAUAUGCCAGCUGUUGUACUAUACUGCUGUACUUAUCAAGAUCCUGUCAGAUUAAAAAUGUUCCCUUUAUUUUUUGUGUUUGUUUUCUAUGUAUUACUUGUGUGAAAGCAGUAUAAACAUAUUAUAGUAUGGUACUGUAUAGCCCAUUGUGUUACUUGGGUACCUAGGCUAACUUUGUGGACUUAAGAACAAAUUGGACUUACAAAUGCCCUCUCAGAACUCAUUUUUACACAGGGGACUUGCUGUAUGCACACCGUGGAAGAAUAUUCAGCAGUGAAAAUGAAAGAACUAUGGCUACUUGCAACCACUUGGAUGAAUUUCAUAAAGGUGUUGAGUGAAAGAAUCCACACAGAGACUAAAAAUGUAAAUAUUCUACUCAACUAAAAUUCAAGUGAAUUCCCUGGUGGUCCAGGGGCUAAGACUCUGCACUGCCACUGCUGAGGGACUAGGUUCAGUCCCUGGUCAGGGAACCAAGAUCCCACAAGCCACCUGCCAUAGCCAAAAAAAAAAUUCAAAAAUAGGUAAAACUCACCAAAGGAGGAGCUAUUGUUAAGGGAAUGAGGGAAAAUUCAGAAUUCAGAGUGCUGGGAAAGCUUUCUGUCUGAAUGAUUACAUGAGAAAUUUCAUGUUGGUGAUAUUUCACCAAGCUGUACACAUAGAGUCUGUGUAUUCUUCUCUCUUUAAUGCUAGGCUUUAGUUGGGAAUGUUUAUUAGUGAAAGAACUAUGAAAUAUCUUGUCUCCAGAAAAAAAAAAUUGCAAGUGGGUCAAUAAAAUUCUACAUGUAUUACUAAUCCUAGCUUAUGAAAGAAUCCUCAUUGUUUUAAUUGUUUUUAUUGUUCAGUCACUAAGUCGUGUCCAACUCUUUGUGACCCAUGGACU